GAACGNUGGNGGCAGGCCUAAUACCUCCCAAGUCGAGCGGAAACAUGAGUAACUUGUUACUUGAUGUCGAGCGGCGGACGGGUGAGUAACGAGUAGAAAUCUACCUCUAAGUGGGGGAUAGCCAAGGGAAACUUUGAUUAAUACCGCAUAAUAUUUAAGGAUUAAAGGAGGCCUCUUAACAAUGCUUCUGCUUAGAGAUGAGUCUGAGUAAGAUUAGUUAGAUGGUGGGGUAAAGGCCUACCAUGGCGAUGAUCUUUAGUUGGUGUGAGAGGAUGAUCAGCCACACCGGGACUGAGACACGGCCCAGACUCCUACGGGAGGCAGCAGUAAGGAAUAUUGGACAAUG
rnacentral:rRNA from 1 species